rnacentral:sRNA from 1 species
UCCAAAGUUAUCAGAGGAAGGCUGAAUUUUAUGAGACCCGGCAAGUGAAUCUACCCAGAGCUGAAGCUUCCUUUGCAACUUGGGAACACCAGGGCCACAGUGACUUUGUGGCUUGGCUUUAGAUAAAUUUGACCAUGGCUGUAGAACCCAGCAGCUCAGAAUCCAUUAAAAGGAGAGCUGGAAGGAGGCUCCUGCCAUACGCCAGACAGUUUUGUAGACACGAAGGAUACAGAGAUGAACAACACCUUUACCAUUUUUGGUGACAGUUAAGCACCUAUCUAAGAAGUUUUCUUUGGUGAGUGCCAAAAAGUGUAACUC